rnacentral:tRNA from 1 species
AUUUAAAUAGUUUAUAAAAAUAUUAAUCUGUGAAAUUAAAGAUAACCCUAAGGUUUUUAAAUA